rnacentral:rRNA from 1 species
ACACAUGCAGUCGAACGGUGAAGCCAAGCUUGCUUGGUGGAUCAGUGGCGAACGGGUGAGUAACACGUGAGCAACCUGCCCUGGACUCUGGGAUAAGCGCUGGAAACGGCGUCUAAUACUGGAUAUGAGCUCUCAUCGCAUGGUGGGGGUUGGAAAGAUUUUUUGGUCUGGGAUGGGCUCGCGGCCUAUCAGCUUGUUGGUGAGGUAAUGGCUCACCAAGGCGUCGACGGGUAGCCGGCCUGAGAGGGUGACCGGCCACACUGGGACUGAGACACGGCCCAGACUCCUACGGGAGGCAGCAGUGGGGAAUAUUGCACAAUGGGCGGAAGCCUGAUGCAGCAACGCCGCGUGAGGGAUGACGGCCUUCGGGUUGUAAACCUCUUUUAGCAAGGAAGAAGCUUUUGUGACGGUACUUGCAGAAAAAGCGCCGGCUAACUACGUGCCAGCAGCCGCGGUAAUACGUAGGGCGCAAGCGUUAUCCGGAAUUAUUGGGCGUAAAGAGCUCGUAGGCGGUUUGUCGCGUCUGCUGUGAAAUCCCGAGGCUCAACCUCGGGCCUGCAGUGGGUACGGGCAGACUAGAGUGCGGUAGGGGAGAUUGGAAUUCCUGGUGUAGCGGUGGAAUGCG